GGGUGUGUAGCUCAGUGGUAGAGCGGCUGACUGCAGAUCAGCAGGACCUCGGAACAAAUCCGGGCGCGCACCU
rnacentral:tRNA from 1 species